UACGUAGGGGGCAAGCGUUGUCCGGAUUUACUGGGCGUAAAGAGCGCGCAGGCGGUCGUUCAAGUCGCGUGUGAAAGCCCCCGGCUCAACUGGGGAGGGUCACGCGAUACUGAUCGACUCGAGGGCAGGAGAGGGUAGUGGAAUUCCCGGUGUAGUGGUGAAAUGCGUAGAUAUCGGGAGGAACACCAGUGGCAGAAGGCGACUACCUGGCCUGUUUCUUGACGCUGAGGCGCGAAAGCUAGGGGAGCAAACGGG
rnacentral:rRNA from 1 species